rnacentral:rRNA from 1 species
CGAACACGGAAGUUAAGCUUUCCAGCGCCGAUGGUAGUUGGGGGUUUCCCCCUGCGAGAGUAGGACGCUGCCGGGC